GCGCCUAACUCGAGGGUGCUCCCAAGUGGCUGUGGACCAGCAAUGGUCCCUGCAGAGAGAGGCAAGAAGUGUGAGCCAAACCGUCAGCUGGGGGCUCUGUUCCACGUUACUCUCACUCUGGACACCAGGCUGACGUGAGAAACACCAACUGGAGUACCGCUGGUUGCUAUGGAGAGAGAAAGAAGUGGGAGAAUUUGUAUUGGCUCUUAAAAUAUCUGCUCCCAUGUCAUUGGUCAAAGCAGGUCCCGUUCCACAUCUAACUUCAAAGAGGAUAUGGAAGUAUACUCCCAUCACGUGUCUGGAAAGAAGGAAACAGGAUGUUUGUGAAGAGCCUGAGAAUACUACACGACUCUUUCAGUUGCAAAUGACAUAAACCAAAUUUUAAUUGGCCGAAGCAGAAAAGGGAAUUUGCUGACUCACGUAAGUGUAGGGGUUGUUUGGCUUCAAACACGGUUGGAUCUAGAUAGUCAAAGAUGUCUUCAGUGUUCCAUCUCUCUUCUGUCUGGUCCUUAUUCUCAGCUAGCAGCCUCCCAAGUCACGACAGAAAUAGCCAUCAGCAGUUUCACAAUUAUUUUCCAUCAACUAUAAAAGGGAGAGUCUCAGGGCAGUGUGGUGGCAUAGUGGCUGAGUUCGCACACUCCGCUUUGGCAGCCCGGGGUUCACUGGUUCGGAUCCUGGGCAUGGACCUACACACUGCUCAUCAAGCCAUGCUGAGGGAGCAUCCCACAUAGAAGAACUAGAAGGACUUACAAGUAGGAUAUACAACUAUGUACUGGGGCUUUGAGGAGAAAAGAAAAAAUUAUUUAAAAAAAAGGGAGAAUCUCUUCCCACUCUGUUCCACAAAAGUACCUGGAAUGAUUUCCAUUGGCCUAGAUUGAGUCACAUGUCCAUUCCUGGUCCACUCUCUCUGACUCUGAUUAGUCUGGCCUGAUUCAGGUGCCCAGGCUUUUGGAGCUGGGAAGUGAGUCAGCCCCACUUGAAAACUGUGGAUGGAUAAUGGGGGAGGGUUGUCUUCUCCAAAUGAAGAGAUGAUUCCAUUACUAGAAGAAGGGACACUGGGCAGGCCAAAACAAAAGAUAUUCAUCGUGUUCUCUCUUCCCUUUUGUGGUGGGUCAGAUGCACCCGUGAUGGAAUCCUGUUGGAAUGUGUGACCCCAGGCUUAUACCUGCUACCGCCCUUCAAUUUAUGCUCAAGGAAAGGCUAGGGCUUACUUCUCUGAGCAAGGUGUGGCGGGGAGGAGCUGCUUAGAAGUGGGCUACGGAAGAGGAAUGAUCAAAGAUAAGUUGAGAUUGGAGCCCAGAGAGUGAGAGAGCAAUAAUGCCACUAACAGAAAUUGAGGGAUGAGAAGGAGAAUCAAUUUUGGAGGGGAGAGUUGAGCUCUACAUCUUGAAUUUGAAAUGACUGGGAUAUGCACGUAGAGCAAUCCACAGGCAUUUGGAGCUGCAGAAGCAUAACUCUGGAUAACUCUGGAUAACUCUGGGAGAGCUAGAUAUUGACUUGAAAAUCAUCUGAUGAUAAGAGGUAGGCUAUCCGGAGGCCUGAGACACCUGAGGGAGAAAAGGAAAGAAAAGAAUGUGGUCUUCCUUGGGAAAUAUCCCCAGCUAGUGGGUGAGACAAGGAAGGGGAGCCACCAAAUGUGACUGAAGAAGAUUGGUUAUAAGGAUGAAAAGGAGAUAAAGGGUAGUUUCUACUUCUCAGAGAUGUCCUCAACUCUCCUCAACAGGGAAAGGAUGAAAAACACUCUCCAUGUCAUUUCCUCUGACCUCACUCUCACUUCUGAUUUUCCUUCUUUUGAUCCUGGAUUGUAUCGUUAUAUCUCUGUGAUCUACAAACACCCCUGCACAUCCAUGUAUAUGAUGAUAUGCUUGAUUAUACUUACAUUUGUUUCUGUAUGUCUUUUGAUUGUCAGUUGCCUGAUUCACCUACUACCUGUUGAUCUAUCCCUGUUUUUACUCAAAAGAUUAUUAGAAGAUGAUGCUAAGCGGAAGUCUUAUCGUAUUGAUUAAAAACCUGAGCUUUCUCAGCAGAACUGGGCUCUAAUCUGUGAUGUCACUUACCACUUUUGUGGCAUAUUUUAAAUUACUCAAGCUCUGAGACUUAAUUUCCU
ensembl:lncRNA